UACGGAGGGUGCAAGCGUUAUCCGGAUUUACUGGGUUUAAAGGGUGCGUAGGUGGGUUGGUAAGUCAGUGGUGAAAUACUUUCGCUUAACGAAGGAGCUGCCAUUGAUACUACCAGUCUUGAAUACAGUGGAGGUAGGCGGAAUGCGUCAUGUAGCGGUGAAAUGCUUAGAUAUGACGCAGAACACCAAUUGCGAAGGCAGCUUGCUACACUGUUAUUGACACUGAGGCACGAAAGCGUGGGGAUCAAACAGG
rnacentral:rRNA from 1 species